GUGCUCCUGCAGCACAGAUGCUGGGGUGGGGACAAUGCAGAGAAGAUUAGCAGGGCCCCUGUUCAGGGCGACACUUAGAUCUGCGGUGUGUUCCAUAUUAAA